CCUACGGGCGGCAGCAGUAGGGAAUCUUCCACAAUGGGCGAAAGCCUGAUGGAGCAACGCCGCGUGGGUGAAGAAGGUCUUCGGAUCGUAAAACCCUGUUGUUAGAGAAGAAAGUGCGUGAGAGUAACUGUUCACGUUUCGACGGUAUCUAACCAGAAAGCCACGGCUAACUACGUGCCAGCAGCCGCGGUAAUACGUAGGUGGCAAGCGUUAUCCGGAUUUAUUGGGCGUAAAGGGAACGCAGGCGGUUUUUUAAGUCUGAUGUGAAAGCCUUCGGCUUAACCGGAGUAGUGCAUUGGAUACUGGGAGACUUGAGUGCAGAAGAGGAGAGUGGAAUUCGAUGUGUAGCGGUGAAAUGCGUAGAUAUAUGGAAGAACACCAGUGGCGAAAGCGGCUCACUGGUCUGUAACUGACGCUGAGGUUCGAAAGCGUGGGUAGCAAACAGGAUUAGAUACCCGAGUAGUC
rnacentral:rRNA from 1 species